UACGUAGGGUCCGAGCGUUGUCCGGAAUUACUGGGCGUAAAGAGCUCGUAGGCGGUCUGUCGCGUCGGUCGUGAAAACUUGGGGCUUAACCCUGAGCUUGCGGUCGAUACGGGCAUGACUGGAGUUCGGCAGGGGAGACUGGAAUUCCUGGUGUAGCGGUGAAAUGCGCAGAUAUCAGGAGGAACACCGGUGGCGAAGGCGGGUCUCUGGGCCGAUACUGACGCUGAGGAGCGAAAGCGUGGGGAGCGAACAGG
rnacentral:rRNA from 1 species